rnacentral:rRNA from 1 species
CUAAGCAUAUCAAUAAGCGGAGGAAAAGAAACUAACAAGGAUUCCCCUAGUAACUGCGAGUGAAGCGGGAAAAGCUCAAAUUUAAAAUCUGGCGGUCUUUGGCCGUCCGAGUUGUAAUCUAGAGAAGUGUUAUCCGCGUUGGACCGUGUACAAGUCUCCUGGAAUGGAGCAUCAUAGAGGGUGAGAAUCCCGUCUUUGACACGGACUACCAGUGCUUUGUGAUGCGCUCUCAAAGAGUCGAGUUGUUUGGGAAUGCAGCUCUAAAUGGGUGGUAAAUUCCAUCUAAAGCUAAAUAUUGGCGAGAGACCGAUAGCGAACAAGUACCGUGAGGGAAAGAUGAAAAGAACUUUGGAAAGAGAGUUAAACAGUACGUGAAAUUGCUGAAAGGGAAACGCUUGAAGUCAGUCACGUUGGCUAGAAAUCAACCUUGCUUUUGCUGGGCGUACUUUCUGGUCAACGGGUCAGCAUCAAUUUUGACCAUUGGAAAAAGUUCAGAGGAAUGUGGCAUCUUCGGGUGUGUUAUAGCCUCUGUUCGCAUACAAUGGUUGGGAUUGAGGAUCUCAGCACGCCGCAAGGCCGGGUUUCGACUACGUUCGUGCUUAGGAUGCUGGCAUAAUGGCUUUAAUCGACCCGUCUUGAAACACGGACCAAGGAGUCUAACAUGCCUGCGAGUGUUUGGGUGGAAAACCCGAGCGCGUAAUGAAAGUGAAAGUUGAGAUCCCUGUCGUGGGGAGCAUCGACGCCCGGACCAGACCUUUUGUGACGGAUCCGCGGUAGAGCAUGUAUGUUGGGACCCGAAAGAUGGUGAACUAUGCCUGAAUAGGGUGAAGCCAGAGGAAACUCUGGUGGAGGCUCGUAGCGAUUCUGACGUGCAAAUCGAUCGUCAAAUUUGGGUAUAGGGGCGAAAGACUAAUCGA